AUGGAAGAGGUCCUAGUGACCUUCAACACACAUAUGGUUAAGGCACUGCCACCUACUUCGUGGCAUCUAUAACCAAGUUUUUUU
rnacentral:ncRNA from 12 species